AUGGAGAGCAUGCACAACUACGUACAGCCAUUACAAGCACCUAUGAAAAGGAAAAACAAAGAACACAACUUGCAAAAGACGAAGCAUUCCACGCUUGGCAUUGAAGAAAUCAUGGCCGGAGCAGCUAAGCAAGACAUAACCGACCAUCAUAGGGGAAUUAUGCUCCAUGUAGGACCUUGGGACUGGAGGAAGCAAAACACCUUCCAUCUCUAUCAUUGCAGAGGGACCCUACUUCCUUGCCUUGGAACGGAAGGCACUGCUCUGUCGGGAUUCAGAGUUGCUCACCCAAGAGCUAGAAGGAUGCCAGCCUCGCAGCGCGAAGUAGCCCUAGAACUACCACCUACACUCGGAAUAUACCUUGUCGGCAACCCGCCGUUGUCCACGCACAACCAAAAGGAGCUAGAAAGGUACCAGGGACAAUCGCCGAAGGAGGCAGCAAAGCAUCGAGAUGACACGAAGAGUAGCGGCAAGGGAGCAGAGCAACUGACUGCAAAGAAAUUCUGUGAGUCCUCGGCUUUCGCUGCGCCAAGGGGAACCCUAUCCCCUUCCGCAAGGAUCGAAGAUGCUGCACCACUGAAACCGAGUAAUGCAGACCGUUAUUGGGGAGCACCAACUUGA
rnacentral:rRNA from 1 species